CUUGUCGGGUAAGUUCCGACCCGCACGAAAGGUGCAACGACUUGGGCACUGUCUCAACGAGAGACCCGGUGAAAUUAUACGAUGCGUGAAGAUGCGCAUUACCCGCGACAGGACGGAAAGACCCCGUGGAGCUUUACUGUAGCCUGAUAUUGAAUGUCUGUGCAGCUUGUACAGGAUAGGUGGGAGCCUUAGAAACGUGAGCGCCAGCUUACGUGGAGGCAUCCGUGGGAUACCACCCUGGCUGUAUGGACCUUCUAACCCAGGACCGUGAUCCGGUUCGGAGACAGUGUCAGGCGGGCAGUUUGACUGGGGCGGUCGCCUCCCAAAAGGUAACGGAGGCGCCCAAAGGUUCCCUCAGAAUGGUUGGAAAUCAUUCGCAGAGUGUAAAGGCAGAAGGGAGCUUGACUGCGAGACCUACAAGUCGAGCAGGGACGAAAGUCGGGCUUAGUGAUCCGGUGGUUCCGCAUGGAAGGGCCAUCGCUCAACGGAUAAAAGCUACCCCGGGGAUAACAGGCUUAUCUCCCCCAAGAGUUCACAUCGACGGGGAGGUUUGGCACCUCGAUGUCGGCUCAUCGCAUCCUGGGGCUGUAGUCGGUCCCAAGGGUUGGGCUGUUCGCCCAUUAAAGCGGUACGCGAGCUGGGUUCAGAACGUCGUGAGACAGUUCGGUCCCUAUCCGUCGUGGGCGUUGGAAGUUUGAGAGGAGCUGUCCUUAGUACGAGAGGACCGGGAUGGACAUACCGCUGGUGUACCAGUUGUUCCGCCAGGAGCAUAGCUGGGUAGCUACGUAUGGAAAGGAUAAGUGCUGAAAGCAUCUAAGCAUGAAGCCCCCCUCAAGAUGAGACUUCCCAUCAUUUUAAAUGAGUAAGAUCCCUCAGAGACGAUGAGGUUAAUAGGUUUGAGGUGGAAGCGUGGCGACACGUGGAGCUGACAAAUACUAAUCGAUCGAGGACUUAACUAACUU
rnacentral:rRNA from 1 species